CCUACGGGAGGCAGCAGUGAGGAAUAUUGGUCAAUGGCCGGAAGGCUGAACCAGCCAUGCCGCGUGACGGUCAGUGCCCUAUGGGCGUUAAACUUCUUUUGUGCGGGAGCAAUAAUGGUCACGUGUGGCCAGACGAGAGUACCGUACGAAUAAGCAUCGGCUAACUCCGUGCCAGCAGCCGCGGUAAUACGGGGGAUGCAAGCGUUAUCCGGAUUUAUUAGGUUUAAAGGGUGCGUAGGCUGUGAGGUAAGUCAGCGGUCAAAUGCCCACGCUCAACGGGGUGAAGUGCCAUGGAUAAUGCCUGGAUUGAAGGCGGAUGCCGUGGGAGGAAUGUGGGGUGUA
rnacentral:rRNA from 1 species